AACGAGGAAUUCCUAGUAAACGCAAGUCAUCAGCUUGCAUUGAUUACGUCCCUGCCCUUUGUACACACCGCCCGUCGCACCUACCGAUUGAAUGACUCGCAGCUGUCAGUGUUUCAUCCGUGUCUGCCGAUGGAGCACGGUGAUGGACUUGGAGAGCAGAU
rnacentral:ncRNA from 1 species